rnacentral:rRNA from 1 species
CAAAGAAGGUAAUAAUCCUGUAGUCGAAAAUGUUGUCUCUCUUGAGUGGAUCCUGAGUACGACGGAGCACGUGAAAUUCCGUCGGAAUCUGGGAGGACCAUCUCCUAAGGCUAAAUACUCUCUAGUGACCGAUAGUGAACCAGUACCGUGAGGGAAAGGUGAAAAGCACCCCGGAAGGGGAGUGAAAUAGAACCUGAAACCGUGUGCUUACAAGUAGUCAGAGCCCGUUAAUGGGUGAUGGCGUGCCUUUUGUAGAAUGAACCGGCGAGUUACGAUUUGAUGCAAGGUUAAGCAGUAAAUGUGGAGCCGUAGCGAAAGCGAGUCUGAAUAGGGCGUUUAGUAUUUGGUCGUAGACCCGAAACCAGGUGAUCUACCCUUGGUCAGGUUGAAGUUCAGGUAACACUGAAUGGAGGACCGAACCGACUUACGUUGAAAAGUGAGCGGAUGAACUGAGGGUAGCGGAGAAAUUCCAAUCGAACCUGGAGAUAGCUGGUUCUCUCCGAAAUAGCUUUAGGGCUAGCCUCAAGUGAUGAUUAUUGGAGGUAGAGCACUGUUUGGACGAGGGGCCCCUCUCGGGUUACCGAAUUCAGACAAACUCCGAAUGCCAAUU